rnacentral:rRNA from 1 species
GGAUGGACCCGCGGUGCAUUAGCUAGUUGGUGAGGUAACGGCUCACCAAGGCCACGAUGCAUAGCCGACCUGAGAGGGUGAUCGGCCACACUGGGACUGAGACACGGCCCAGACUCCUACGGGAGGCAGCAGUAGGGAGUCUUCGGCAAUGGACGAAAGUCUGACCGAGCAACGCCGCGUGAGUGAAGAAGGUUUUCGGAUCGUAAAACUCUGUUGUUAGAGAAGAACAAGGAUGAGAGUAAAACGUUCAUCCCUUGACGGUAUCUAACCAGAAAGCCACGGCUAACUACGUGCCAGCAGCCGCGGUAAUACGUAGGUGGCAAGCGUUGCCCGGAUUUAUUGGGCGUAAAGCGAGCGCAGGCGGUUUCUUAAGUCUGAUGUGAAAGCCCCCGGCUCAACCGGGGAGGGUCAUUGGAAACUGGGAGACUUGAGUGCAGAAGAGGAGAGUGGAAUUCCAUGUGUAGCGGUGAAAUGCGUAGAUAUAUGGAGGAACACCAGUGGCGAAGGCGGCUCUCUGGUCUGUAACUGACGCUGAGGCUCGAAAGCGUGGGGAGCGAACAGGAUUAGAUACCCUGGUAGUCCACGCCGUAAACGAUGAGUGCUAAGUGUUGGAGGGUUUCCGCCCUUCA